rnacentral:sRNA from 1 species
GGUUUAACAAGCCGCCUCCCAGAGGAACGUGAACCUCCCACAGUCCCACCUGGCGGGCCAUACGGCCUCCUCUGCAGGUGGAGCUUGUGUGUCAGAACCUCAGGGGGAUGCAUUGGUCUGCCCAGCUGGCCACUCCUGCCUGGUGACCCUGUCCCCUGCUGAGCUGGUGGCUACAGAGAAGGGGUCUCCAGGGAGCAGGGAGGAUGCGGAGGUUGGGCCAUCCCCCCAGACCCUCACCCUGCCUUGGUCUCCCAGGGUGCCUUCAAGGAGCUGGUGUAUGUGUUCUUCAUGGUGAAGGAUGCCGGCCUGACCCCGGACCUGCUGUCCUAUGCGGCCGCCCUCCAGUGCAUGGGGAGGCAGGACCAGGACGCCGGGACCAUCGAAAGGUGUCUGGAACAGAUGAGCCAGGAGGGGCUGAAGCUGCAGGCACUCUUCACCACCGUGCCCCUGUCUGAGGAGGAUCGGGCCACUGUUCUGAAGGCCGUGCACAAGGUGAAGCCCACCUUCAGCCUCCCGCCGCAGCUGCCGCCCCCGGUCAACACCUCCAAGCUGCUCAGGGACGUGUAUGCCAAGGAUGGGCACGUGUCCUACCCGAAGCUGCACCUGCCCCUGAAGACCCUGCAGUGCCUCUUUGAGAAGCAGCUCCACAUGGAGCUGGCCAGCAGGGUGUGCGUGGUGUCUGUGGAGAAGCCCACGUUGCCAAGCAAGGAGGUCACGCAUGCGCGGAAGACCCUGAAGACCCUGCGGGACCAAUGGGAGAAAGCACUGUGCCGGGCGCUGCGGGACACCAAGAACCGCCUGGAGCGCGCGGUGUACGAGGGCCGGUUCUCACUGUACCCCUUCCUGUGCCUGCUGGACGAGCGCGAGGUGGUGCGGAUGCUCCUACAGGUGCGCCUUUCUCCGCGCGGCCGGGUCCCCGGGCGGGGUGGGCAGGCACUCACGGCUUCUUUCUGCAGGUCCUGCAGGCGCUGCCCGCCCAAGGUGAGUCCUUCACCACCCUGGCCCGGGAGCUGAGUGCGCGCACUUUCAGCCGGCACGUGGUGCAGAGGCAGCGGCUCAGUGGCCAGGUGCAGGCGCUGCAGAACCACUACAGGAAGUACCUAUGCCUGCUGGCCUGCGACACCGAGGUGAGGCCCGCACCCCCUCUCCUCCUGGCUGGGGCCAGUGGUGGGUG